rnacentral:tRNA from 1 species
GCCGACGUAGCUCAGGUGGCAGAGCGAUCGCCUUGUAAGCGAAAGGUCGCCGGUUCGAAUCCGGCCGUCGGCUCCA